AACGAACGCUGGCGGCGCGCCUAAUACAUGCAAGUCGAGCGAGAAGACGUAGCAAUACGUUUGUAAAGCGGCGAACGGGUGAGGAAUACAUGGGUAACCUACCCUCGAGUGGGGAAUAACUAGCCGAAAGGUUAGCUAAUACCGCGUACGCUCCUCGGACUUCGGUUCAGGGAGGAAAGCGAUACCGUGGGUAUCGCGCUCUUGGAUGGGCUCAUGUCCUAUCAGCUUGUUGGUGAGGUAAUGGCUCACCAAACCAAGACGGGUAGCCGGCCUUGGCGGGUGAACGGCCACACGGGGACUGAGACACGGCCCCGACUCCUACGGGAGGCAGCAGUGGGGAAUAUUGGGCAAUGGGCGCAAGCCUGACCCAGCGACGUCGCGUU
rnacentral:rRNA from 1 species